CACCUGAGCUCAGGCAAGGCUACC
rnacentral:rRNA from 1 species